UCCAAGGGGGUCUUUGGAUAUGCCCAAAAGAAGGACAUUGAUCUAACAUGUUUUUUUCAUAUACCGUCACUAAACACAUUUAAAUCAUGUUGGAUUGAAAUGUGUCAUUUGUAUUUGAGUUGUGCAUAUUUAUAUCAGGUUACUGGAACAUGAUUUUGAUAUGUAAAACGUUACUAAUAGGCUACUCCUGACAAGCUGGUGGCAGUAGAGUGUUAUGAAUGCAACCAUGAAUGACAUUCACACGAGACCAUGCGAAGAAGACCAACAUCAACGGACAUUUUUGACUUUCGCGCCCUUGGCUGCUUGGUAGCAGGUCCACCACCCCCAUUCAAAAACAUUGUUGCACCAGCAGGAGAUUAUCAGCGACAUGCCCAUGGCCACCGACUUCAAGUCCUGCUGGCCAGAAAUGUUGGAUAUUGGAGAGAUCCAUGCAGAGUUAACUCGUUACCACUAUGCCACUGCAGUUAAAGUUUCUUUCCCAGCUGGACCUCCACUGCGAUGACCUGGUGAAAAUCUUCCAGAAGAGGGGAGGGCACACCGCAAGAAAACUGCAGUCAGUGGUAAGUAAAGGUGCCCCACUUCCUGUCCUUGAGGUGAACUUGUUAGUUUUCUUCAAUGCAUUUAUACCUGGUAUGACUUGGCGUUUCAAUCCCCAGCCCUUCUCAACACACGCGUGCCUAAGCCUACCGGUAGUUUGGUAAUGUCACAAUGUGAUGUUAAUGUCAUAUUUCUCAAUUCAUCUGACUGGGCGGUGGGCUGAGGGCAUGUGGAAACAAAGAAUGUUGUCAACCUGAACACUCCAUUUUGCAUUGAUAGGAAAAUGAUUAAGUAAUGAAUAUGUUUUGCUUAUCAAGAUCAUGUUUUUUGACAGACAUUUGUGUUCCACCAGCAGGAGAUCAUCAGCGACAUGCCCAUGGCCACCGACUUCAAGUCCUGCUGGCCAGAAAUGUUGGAUAUUGGAGAGGUAAUGUUUCUACUCAGUAGGAAGUACUGGCUUGUGUAUUGUAUGAUACCCAUGACAUUAUGAUUAAGUGUUUCAUGUGUAGAAUGUGGCCAGAAUUGGUACUGCAACUAUGCUGCUAAUUGAAAUAGUGCUGCAUUUUGCCAAAUUUGAUCUUUUCAUGAAUAUUUACUAAAUAAUAAACCAAUAUUUAUUAGUUUAGCCAAAGUACAGUACGUUUUGCAGCUGAAAAUGUCUAUAUCGGGAAAUUCAAAGUGGCAGACCACAGAGCAGAUCCCCCUUUUCAUGUAUGAAAAGUGC